UUAAGCGACUAAGCGUACACGGUGGAUGCCCUGGCAGUCAGAGGCGAUGAAGGACGUGCUAAUCUGCGAUAAGCGCCGGUAAGGUGAUAUGAACCGUUAUAACCGGCGAUUUCCGAAUGGGGAAACCCAGUGUGAUUCGUCACACUAUCAUUAACUGAAUCCAUAGGUUAAUGAGGCGAACCGGGGGAACUGAAACAUCUAAGUACCCCGAGGAAAAGAAAUCAACCGAGAUUCCCCCAGUAGCGGCGAGCGAACGGGGAGGAGCCCAGAGCCUGAAUCAGCAUGUGUGUUAGUGGAAGCGUCUGGAAAGGCGCGCGAUACAGGGUGACAGCCCCGUACACAAAAGCGCACAUGCUGUGAGCUCGAUGAGUAGGGCGGGACACGUGGUAUCCUGUCUGAAUAUGGGGGGACCAUCCUCCAAGGCUAAAUACUCCUGACUGACCGAUAGUGAACCAGUACCGUGAGGGAAAGGCGAAAAGAACCCCGGCGAGGGGAGUGAAAAAGAACCUGAAACCGUGUACGUACAAGCAGUGGGAGCACCCUUUGGGGUGUGACUGCGUACCUUUUGUAUAAUGGGUCAGCGACUUAUAUUCUGUAGCAAGGUUAACCGUAUAGGGGAGCCGGAGGGAAACCGAGUCUUAACCGGGCGUUAAGUUGCAGGGUAUAGACCCGAAACCCGGUGAUCUAGCCAUGGGCAGGUUGAAGGUUGGGUAACACUAACUGGAGGACCGAACCGACUAAUGUUGAAAAAUUAGCGGAUGACCUGUGGCUGGGGGUGAAAGGCCAAUCAAACCGGGAGAUAGCUGGUUCUCCCCGAAAGCUAUUUAGGUAGCGCCUCGUGAAUUCAUCUCCGGGGGUAGAGCACUGUUUCGGCUAGGGGGCCAUCCCGGCUUACCAACCCGAUGCAAACUGCGAAUACCGGAGAAUGUUAUCACGGGAGACACACGGCGGGUGCUAACGUCCGUCGUGAAGAGGGAAACAACCCAGACCGCCAGCUAAGGUCCCAAAGUCAUGGUUAAGUGGGAAACGAUGUGGGAAGGCCCAGACAGCCAGGAUGUUGGCUUAGAAGCAGCCAUCAUUUAAAGAAAGCGUAAUAGCUCACUGGUCGAGUCGGCCUGCGCGGAAGAUGUAACGGGGCUAAACCAUGCACCGAAGCUGCGGCAGCGACACUGUGUGUUGUUGGGUAGGGGGAGCGUUCUGUAAGCCUGUGAAGGUGUGUCGUGAGGCAUGCUGGAGGUAUCAGAAGUGCGAAUGCUGACAUAAGUAACGAUAAAGCGGGUGAAAAGCCCGCUCGCCGGAAGACCAAGGGUUCCUGUCCAACGUUAAUCGGGGCAGGGUGAGUCGACCCCUAAGGCGAGGCCGAAAGGCGUAGUCGAUGGGAAACGGGUUAAUAUUCCCGUACUUGGUGUUACUGCGAAGGGGGGACGGAGAAGGCUAUGUUGGCCGGGCGACGGUUGUCCCGGUUUAAGCGUGUAGGUGUGUGUUCCAGGUAAAUCCGGUUCACUUUAACACUGAGGCGUGACGACGAGGCACUACGGUGCUGAAGCAACAAAUGCCCUGCUUCCAGGAAAAGCCUCUAAGCAUCAGGUAACAUCAAAUCGUACCCCAAACCGACACAGGUGGUCAGGUAGAGAAUACCAAGGCGCUUGAGAGAACUCGGGUGAAGGAACUAGGCAAAAUGGUGCCGUAACUUCGGGAGAAGGCACGCUGACACGUAGGUGAAGUGAUUUACUCAUGGAGCUGAAGUCAGUCGAAGAUACCAGCUGGCUGCAACUGUUUAUUAAAAACACAGCACUGUGCAAACACGAAAGUGGACGUAUACGGUGUGACGCCUGCCCGGUGCCGGAAGGUUAAUUGAUGGGGUCAGCGCAAGCGAAGCUCCUGAUCGAAGCCCCGGUAAACGGCGGCCGUAACUAUAACGGUCCUAAGGUAGCGAAAUUCCUUGUCGGGUAAGUUCCGACCUGCACGAAUGGCGUAAUGAUGGCCAGGCUGUCUCCACCCGAGACUCAGUGAAAUUGAACUCGCUGUGAAGAUGCAGUGUACCCGCGGCAAGACGGAAAGACCCCGUGAACCUUUACUAUAGCUUGACACUGAACAUUGAGCCUUGAUGUGUAGGAUAGGUGGGAGGCUUUGAAGCGUGGACGCCAGUCUGCGUGGAGCCAACCUUGAAAUACCACCCUUUAAUGUUUGAUGUUCUAACGUGGACCCGUAAUCCGGGUUGCGGACAGUGUCUGGUGGGUAGUUUGACUGGGGCGGUCUCCUCCUAAAGAGUAACGGAGGAGCACGAAGGUUGGCUAAUCCUGGUCGGACAUCAGGAGGUUAGUGCAAUGGCAUAAGCCAGCUUGACUGCGAGCGUGACGGCGCGAGCAGGUGCGAAAGCAGGUCAUAGUGAUCCGGUGGUUCUGAAUGGAAGGGCCAUCGCUCAACGGAUAAAAGGUACUCCGGGGAUAACAGGCUGAUACCGCCCAAGAGUUCAUAUCGACGGCGGUGUUUGGCACCUCGAUGUCGGCUCAUCACAUCCUGGGGCUGAAGUAGGUCCCAAGGGUAUGGCUGUUCGCCAUUUAAAGUGGUACGCGAGCUGGGUUUAGAACGUCGUGAGACAGUUCGGUCCCUAUCUGCCGUGGGCGCUGGAGAACUGAGGGGGGGCUGCUCCUAGUACGAGAGGACCGGAGUGGACGCAUCACUGGUGUUCGGGUUGUCAUGCCAAUGGCACUGCCCGGUAGCUAAAUGCGGAAGAGAUAAGUGCUGAAAGCAUCUAAGCACGAAACUUGCCCCGAGAUGAGUUCUCCCUGAGACUUAAAGUCUCCUGAAGGAACGUUGAAGACGACGACGUUGAUAGGCCGGGUGUGUAAGCGCAGCGAUGCGUUGAGCUAACCGGUACUAAUGAACCGUGAGGCUUAACCUU
rnacentral:rRNA from 1 species